rnacentral:rRNA from 1 species
AGCGUACACGGUGGAUGCCCUGGCAGUCAGAGGCGAUGAAGGACGUGCUAAUCUGCGAUAAGCGUCGGUAAGGUGAUAUGAACCGUUAUAACCGGCGAUUUCCGAAUGGGGAAACCCAGUGUGAUUCGUCACACUAUCAUUAACUGAAUCCAUAGGUUAAUGAGGCGAACCGGGGGAACUGAAACAUCUAAGUACCCCGAGGAAAAGAAAUCAACCGAGAUUCCCCCAGUAGCGGCGAGCGAACGGGGAGCAGCCCAGAGCCUGAAUCAGUGUGUGUGUUAGUGGAAGCGUCUGGAAAGGCGCGCGAUACAGGGUGACAGCCCCGUACACAAAAAUGCACAUGCUGUGAGCUCGAUGAGUAGGGCGGGACACGUGGUAUCCUGUCUGAAUAUGGGGGGACCAUCCUCCAAGGCUAAAUACUCCUGACUGACCGAUAGUGAACCAGUACCGUGAGGGAAAGGCGAAAAGAACCCCGGCGAGGGGAGUGAAAAAGAACCUGAAACCGUGUACGUACAAGCAGUGGGAGCACGCUUAGGCGUGUGACUGCGUACCUUUUGUAUAAUGGGUCAGCGACUUAUAUUCUGUAGCAAGGUUAACCGAAUAGGGGAGCCGAAGGGAAACCGAGUCUUAACUGGGCGUUAAGUUGCAGGGUAUAGACCCGAAACCCGGUGAUCUAGCCAUGGGCAGGUUGAAGGUUGGGUAACACUAACUGGAGGACCGAACCGACUAAUGUUGAAAAAUUAGCGGAUGACUUGUGGCUGGGGGUGAAAGGCCAAUCAAACCGGGAGAUAGCUGGUUCUCCCCGAAAGCUAUUUAGGUAGCGCCUCGUGAAUUCAUCUCCGGGGGUAGAGCACUGUUUCGGCAAGGGGGUCAUCCCGACUUACCAACCCGAUGCAAACUGCGAAUACCGGAGAAUGUUAUCACGGGAGACACACGGCGGGUGCUAACGUCCGUCGUGAAGAGGGAAACAACCCAGACCGCCAGCUAAGGUCCCAAAGUCAUGGUUAAGUGGGAAACGAUGUGGGAAGGCCCAGACAGCCAGGAUGUUGGCUUAGAAGCAGCCAUCAUUUAAAGAAAGCGUAAUAGCUCACUGGUCGAGUCGGCCUGCGCGGAAGAUGUAACGGGGCUAAACCAUGCACCGAAGCUGCGGCAGCGACGCUGAUGCGUUGUUGGGUAGGGGAGCGUUCUGUAAGCCUGUGAAGGUGUACUGUGAGGUAUGCUGGAGGUAUCAGAAGUGCGAAUGCUGACAUAAGUAACGAUAAAGCGGGUGAAAAGCCCGCUCGCCGGAAGACCAAGGGUUCCUGUCCAACGUUAAUCGGGGCAGGGUGAGUCGACCCCUAAGGCGAGGCCGAAAGGCGUAGUCGAUGGGAAACAGGUUAAUAUUCCUGUACUUGGUGUUACUGCGAAGGGGGGACGGAGAAGGCUAUGUUGGCCGGGCGACGGUUGUCCCGGUUUAAGCGUGUAGGCUGGUUUUCCAGGCAAAUCCGGAAAAUCAAGGCUGAGGCGUGAUGACGAGGCACUACGGUGCUGAAGCAACAAAUGCCCUGCUUCCAGGAAAAGCCUCUAAGCAUCAGGUAACAUCAAAUCGUACCCCAAACCGACACAGGUGGUCAGGUAGAGAAUACCAAGGCGCUUGAGAGAACUCGGGUGAAGGAACUAGGCAAAAUGGUGCCGUAACUUCGGGAGAAGGCACGCUGAUAUGUAGGUGAAGUCCCUCGCGGAUGGAGCUGAAAUCAGUCGAAGAUACCAGCUGGCUGCAACUGUUUAUUAAAAACACAGCACUGUGCAAACACGAAAGUGGACGUAUACGGUGUGACGCCUGCCCGGUGCCGGAAGGUUAAUUGAUGGGGUCAGCGCAAGCGAAGCUCUUGAUCGAAGCCCCGGUAAACGGCGGCCGUAACUAUAACGGUCCUAAGGUAGCGAAAUUCCUUGUCGGGUAAGUUCCGACCUGCACGAAUGGCGUAAUGAUGGCCAGGCUGUCUCCACCCGAGACUCAGUGAAAUUGAACUCGCUGUGAAGAUGCAGUGUACCCGCGGCAAGACGGAAAGACCCCGUGAACCUUUACUAUAGCUUGACACUGAACAUUGAGCCUUGAUGUGUAGGAUAGGUGGGAGGCUUUGAAGUGUGGACGCCAGUCUGCAUGGAGCCGACCUUGAAAUACCACCCUUUAAUGUUUGAUGUUCUAACGUUGACCCGUGAUCCGGGUUGCGGACAGUGUCUGGUGGGUAGUUUGACUGGGGCGGUCUCCUCCUAAAGAGUAACGGAGGAGCACGAAGGUUGGCUAAUCCUGGUCGGACAUCAGGAGGUUAGUGCAAUGGCAUAAGCCAGCUUGACUGCGAGCGUGACGGCGCGAGCAGGUGCGAAAGCAGGUCAUAGUGAUCCGGUGGUUCUGAAUGGAAGGGCCAUCGCUCAACGGAUAAAAGGUACUCCGGGGAUAACAGGCUGAUACCGCCCAAGAGUUCAUAUCGACGGCGGUGUUUGGCACCUCGAUGUCGGCUCAUCACAUCCUGGGGCUGAAGUAGGUCCCAAGGGUAUGGCUGUUCGCCAUUUAAAGUGGUACGCGAGCUGGGUUUAGAACGUCGUGAGA